AGAAAUGAUGAGACAGACCACUGGACUCCUUGACUUCCAGGAGGCCCAGAGUACAGAGGAUUGAUUGGGUAUGGGUAUCUGACCUGAAUGUGUUGGGUGGCAGCAGCACUACUGGAGGCAGGCAAAACCAUGGGCCACACCCUACAAAGCUAUUUGAUUGGAUUCAUGAUCCACUUCACUAGGGUGAUGUAAACAUGUGUUCACCAGCAUGGUACAAUUGACACAAGAACCUCCUCAUCUUCUCGCUCUCCACUGUGCUGCUAAAUCUCUCCAAAACUAGUUGCCAUCUCCAGACAUGGGAACUGGAAAGUGAGAGGCAGCAGGAGAAAUGGCUUCAUUUUACAAGAUAACUCCAUCACCCAAAGUGGUUGCAGAAAAUUCAAAUCAGCAGACAGAGAAGCUGAAGUGUGCAGCUACCUACCAUCUCUCUAAUCUCCCACACAUCCUUUGAUAAUUACAGGGCUCCAACUCCUUCGACACACAGGGAGUAGACAAAGGAGGGAAAUCACUUUUUAUAAUACAUAACAUUGUAAAAGAAUCUAACAUCUGCUACAAGAGGUUAUGUAAUAUAAAGGUUAAAUAAAAUUACCUCCUUUUUUUUAAGU